AGCCCAUGGUGAGGGCACCUUCUCAAUAGAUAUUUGUAUCUUUCCCAUGCAUCAUAAAGUGUUUCUAAAUCCAUCUGCACAAAAGAAGAGAUAUCAUUCCAUAAUUU
rfam:Gossypium arboreum cultivar AKA8401 contig_73472_1, whole genome shotgun sequence.